UCACAAGGGCUGUUGAAGAAGUCACAAUAGGAAGUUACAUUUGCUUGUGACUCUGUGGCUGCUAUUCAGGGGCUAAUGUCAGUUCAAGGCCCCUGCAAGUCACUUGCCCAAACAAAAUGGAUGCUGAGGCAGCAGUGCCAUGGAGUAGCUUAACUGAACUCUGGACCAAAGGGGUCUUUAAAACACGAUACAUUUCAUAUCUUCAGGACAGCUCUGUGUGUGAAGACGGAUGGUCACAAUACAUGACUUCAGGGUUUCUUGUAAUUUGGAGGCUAUAAAAGAAGCGUGACAUCUCUGUCUUCUAGGAGUUCACGGUUUGCAGACGCAUAGACACCACGUUUAAAAAUAUAAGUCAGCACAUAAUUAACAGCAAAACUGAAUAUGACCAAGGGCUUGACUGUACAAUUAUAUAACAAUUGAUACUUCCUCGGUGACAGCUACUGCUUCUCAGCAUGACAUUCAGAGCACCAACCAGGUAGUGUCUUUUGUCAGACAGGUGGUGCCUUCCUCUGCCAUCUGUCCCUGGAGUGCAUGUAACAGAGAGGCAGAGACCCUGGAACUUGUGAAAGAAGAAAGCAAGAAAGCAAGAAGGAAAGAAAGCAAGAAAGCAAGCAAGCAAGAAAGCAAGCAAGAAAGCAAGCAAGCAAGCAAGAAAGGAUUAUACUAGUGUGGAUAAUUGCAAGAGAAUCAAAAUUUUUCAUUUAGAAGCCAAAAGUGAUUCAGCUGGUAUUCAAUCAAUGAGAAAAACUAAGUGACCAGCUUAGUUAAAAAUAUCAACCAACCCUAAAUCAGCAAACAAACAAAAAUACAAAAUAAUAAUAGCAAACAACAAUUUGAAAACAACCAUACAACCGAUAUAUUUUCUCCCUCUCUCUCACUCUUGCUCGGAAGCUUAGUGAAACUAAAACAAAAGGUAGGGCAUCUUUUCUUCAGGCCUCCAUUUACUGUCACUUACUAUCUUUUCUCUUCUUCUUACAGUACACUGUGUCCUUGAGUCAGACCUGCCCAGAGAACCCUGCCCAGGCCCUCUUGCCAGAGAAGAGUCCUUCCUCUGUCAGAAUUAUGUUAAUCUACUGUGUGGGAAUCCAGCCCUGCUUGUGACUCUUGCCAGUUACAUUGGAGCUGUUGAUUAAGAACAUUCUUCGCCACGUGACUACAUAAAACAGUUGGACCAUUUUACCCCUCGGUUCAAGUGAUUUUUUUUUUCACAUUAUACAACUAUCAGUUUAUUUUAUUGUUCAUGAAGAUUGCUCUCUCCUCACAGAGCAGGAAAUGUGCUCUGAAGCUGACAGGGAAGGAACUCGCUUUAAUAGUAGCAAUGACAACAACACAAUAACAAGCCUUUUCAAAAAUAAGCAGUUAACCACGUCCUCUUCCAUCCCAUUUCCCCCCACCUACACGUGGCUUUCAUCUCCUUCUGUCAUUCCAAUAAAAGCAGGUUGUACACUGCUCAUUACUGAGAGCCCAGAAUCCUAAUCCUUCACACCUUGGUCAUUAGCCAGUCUAAUAAUAACGUGAGAAAUCCA